AUUGAACGCUGGCGGCAGGCCUAACACAUGCAAGUCGAGCGAGCGGCGGACGGGUGUGUAAUGUCUGGGACACUGCCUGAUGGAGGGGGAUAACUACUGGAAACGUUAGCUAAUACCGCUUACCAUCAGAUUUGCCCAGAUGUGAUUAGCUGGUAGGUGGGGUAAUGGCUCACCUGGGCGAAGAUCCCUAGCUGGUCUGAGAGGAGGACCGGCCACACGGGAACUGAGACACGGUCCAGACUCCUACGGGAGGCAGAGGUGGGGAAUAUUGCACAAUGGGGGCAAGCCUGAUGCAGACAGGCGGCGUGUGUGAAGAAGGCCUUCGGGUUGUAAAGCACUUUCAGCGAGGAGGCGUUAAUCGCAGAAGAAGCACCGGCUAACUCCGUGCCAGCAGCCGCGGUAAUUC
rnacentral:rRNA from 1 species